rnacentral:ribozyme from 1 species
GAAAUUUGUGUUUUUUUUUUGUUUUUUUUUUUUUCUUUUUUUUUUCUUCCCUCAUUCCC